rnacentral:rRNA from 1 species
UGGGGAAUCUUGGACAAUGGGCGCAAGCCUGAUCCAGCCAUGCCGCGUGAGUGAAGAAGGCCUUCGGGUUGUAAAGCUCUUUUACCAGGGACGAUAAUGACGGUACCUGGAGAAUAAGCCCCGGCAAACUUCGUGCCAGCAGCCGCGGUAAUACGAAGGGGGCUAGCGUUGUUCGGAAUUACUGGGCGUAAAGCGCACGUAGGCGGAUUGUUAAGUCAGAGGUGAAAUCCCGGGAGCUCAACUUCGGAACUGCCUUUGAUACUGGCAAUCUCGAGUCCGGAAGAGGUUAGUGGAAUUCCCAGUGUAGAGGUGAAAUUCGUAGAUAUUGGGAAGAACACCAGUGGCGAAGGCGGCUAACUGGUCCGGUACUGACGCUGAGGUGCGAAAGCGUGGGGAGCAAACAGGAUUAGAUACCCAGGUAGUCCCUGAGCGGGCUGGCAAGGCGCAU